AAGUCGUAACAAGGUUUCCGUAGGUGAACCUGCGGAAGGAUCAUUAACACGUUCCAAAACGUUCAUAUCAACACCAACCGGUUCAGUGCAACAGUACUCCCUAACAAGAGGGUCAAGCUGCUCUUCGUCUCCUCCAGUGAUAGGUGAGUUCGCAAGGACUCGCGGAGAGACGUUGGGCUAGGGUCUCGAACCCAAGGCUCCUUUUGUUAGGCUUUUCCACCCCCCCCCCUUUUCUCUAUCACUAACCAACUAACCCUUUUCACCCCUUUAAAACAUUUGACUAAAUCUUUCGAACGAAGAAAUUUGUUUGGAAUUGUAUAUCUAACACUGUACAACUCUUAGCAAUGGAUAUCUUGGUUCUC
rnacentral:misc_RNA from 1 species